GGGGGCGCACCGGCUUUGACGUGUUGUUGGGGUCAGGAAGUGCAUGUCGAGCUUUGAUUAAGUACUCGUAAAAAAAAUGAUCAACUAAUAAAUGCAAACACUAUGUUUGUACCACAAACUAACCAUGGGGUUGCAGUUUCUGCAUACGCUUAAGCUAGUUUAGUGGUCUUAUCAGACUGGCGUGUCUAUCAGCUGGAAUGAUUCGUAGAAUAAACGAUAGGACCUGCAAGCGAGAUUUCUUUGGUAGUAGCUUGUUUGUACUAUAACAAAGCGGGUAGUAGUUUUUUUGUCCUUGAAAGACGCUAUCUUGUAUAAGCAAGGAACAAACAUGUAGUACUUUCUUUCUGUGGCAGUGCGGACAUGGGUUCGAUUCCCAUCGCCUCCAAAU
rnacentral:tmRNA from 1 species